rnacentral:tRNA from 1 species
GGGAGUAUAGCUCAGUGGUAGAGUACAUGCUUCGUGUGCACGAGAUUCUGGGUUCAAUUCCCAGUGCCUCUG